GGAUGCCAUGUGCUGGCAGCCACAGCAGCAGAGCAGGGCUAAGCAAUGGGUUUCCUUUCCUGAGCUCGGAAUGGUGCUGGAGGAAGCAAGUCCCCACCUAAUUGUUAUAGCAGUCACAGGACCCAAGAACACUAAUCACUUACAGAAUGACCUGUAGUUCUCCUGUGACUUUCUGUCCAAGAACUGAUUCAUCCUUAAACAUCUUCUGGUGCCCCGUGCCAAAUGGAAACUGAAGGUCAGCAGCUCCGGACAGAAGCAGGCACUCUAGAACUCCUGGGUGCGGGGCUGGUGCUUUAUUAAAUCUGGAGCCUGACGCUAUCUAUCUACAUAGUGUCACACCAUUUUACCCAGUGUGGAAGAACUGGAACUAUGGGUUGGAAAAGCUGUCGAGUGCUCAGAGAACGAGUUGUGGGAGUCUAGAAGAUGAAAAAUGCUGAAAGCCAGCCAGUAAGUGCCCUUCCUCCAAGGUCUCGGUUUCAGUUCUUGCAUCCAUGUUCCUGCCUUGUGUUCUUGUCUUGACUUCUCCUGAAGAUGGACUGUAAGCCAAAUAAACCCUUUCCUCCUCAAA